ensembl:lncRNA
UUUUUUUUUUGGGGUAUCUUUGUCUGGUUUUGGUAUCACGGUAUUGGUGGCUUCAUAGAAUGAGCUUGGGAGAGUUCCUUCCUCUGCAAUUUUCUGGAAAAUUUUCAGAAGACGUGUUAACCCUUCUCUGAAUAUUUGGUACAACUCAGCUGUGAAGCCAUUAGGUCCUGGACUUUCGCUUUUUGGAAGUUUUUAAAGUCACAUUUUCAAUUUUAGCACUUGUAAUUGGUCUAUUCACAUUUUCUUUUUCUUCCUGGUUCAGUCUUGGUAGGUUGUGCCUUUGUAAGAAUCUGUUCAUUUCUUCUAGGUUGUCCAUUUCAUUGACACACAGUUGCUCAUAGUGGUCUCUCAUGAUGCUUUUUGUUUCUGCAGUGUCAGUUGUAACUUCUCCUUUUUCAUUUCUAAUUUUAUUGAUUUGAACCCUCUCCCUUUUUUUCUUCAUGAGUCUGGCUCAAGGUUUGUCAAUUUUGUUGGUCUUUUCAACGAACUAACUUUUGGUUUAAUUGAUUUCUCAAUUUUUUUGGUCUCUAUGUUAUUAAUUCCUGCUCUUAAUCUUUAUGAUUUCUUUCCUUCUACUAAUUUUGGGUUUUGUCUGUUCUUCCUUCUCUAGAUGUUUAAGGUGUAAUGUUAGGUUGUUUAUUUGAGUUAUUUUCUUUCCUUAGACAAGAGUGUACUGCUAUAAACGUCCCUCUCAGAACUGCUUUUGCUGUGUCCCAUAGGUUUUGGCUUGUUGUAUCUUCAUUGUCAUUUGUCACAUAUACAUUUUAAUUUCCUCUUUGAUUUCUUCAACAAUCCAUUGGUUGUUUAGUCUCAUAUUGUUUAGCUUCCAAGAGUUUGUUUUUCUUGCUUUUUUCUUGUAGUUGAUUUCUAGUCUCAUAUAGCAUUGUAAUCAGAGAAAAUGCUUGAAAUAAUUUCUAUUUUUAAAAAUUUACUAUGGCUUGAUCUGUGCCCAAGAUGUGAUCAAUACUGGAGAAUGUUCCAUGUGCACUUGAGAAGAAACUAUAUUCUGCUGCUUUGGGGUGAAAAGUUCUAUAGAUAACAGUUAAGUCUGUUUGGUCUAGUGUGACAUUUAAGGCCUGUGUUUCCUUUCCUUGUUGAUUUUCUGUCUGGACGAUCUGUCCUUUUCUGUAAGUGGGGUGUUAACAUUCCCCACUAUUAUUGCAUUACUGUCAAUUUCACCAUUUAGGGGUGAUAGUAGUUGCCUUAUAUAUUGUGCUGCUACUAUGUUGGGUGCAUAUAUAUUUACAAUUGUUAUUUCUUCCUCUUGUAUUGAUCAUUUGAUCAUUAUUUAAUGUCCUUAAUCUCUUGUGACCGUCUUUAUUUUAAAAUCUAUUUUGUCUGAUAUGAGUAUUGCUACUUCUGCUUUUAUAUAAAUUCCAUGCAUGUAAAUUUUCUUCUAUCCCCUCACUUUAAGUCUCUGUGUGUUCUUAGAUUUGAGGUAGAUCUCCUGUAGACAGCAUAUAUAUGGGUAUUCCUUUUGAAUCCAUUCAGCUAGUUGUCUUCUUUUAGUUGGAGCAUUUAAUCUAUUUGCAUUUAAUGUAAUUCUUUAUAAUGAUUUUUAUUUUUUUCCAUUGUAGCCAGUUUACAGUGUUCUUAUGGAUAAGUAUGUACUUAUUGUCAUUUACUUAAAAAAAUUUUUUUGGAUUGAUAAUUUGGGUCUUUUUUCUUCCCUUCCUUAUUUUGUUGUCUUCUCUUGUGAUUUGCUAACCAUGUUUGGUGUUUGGCCUGGUUUUUCUUUUUUAUGUGUUUGACCAUUAUAGUUAUUUGAUUAGUGGUUCCCCUUAUGUUUUGAUAUAUCCAUCUAUAUGAUUAUAGAAUUGUUUCUGCCUGCUGGUCUCUUAAUUUCAAAUGCCUUUUUAAUGCUUUGCAUUUGUCCUCUCCUCUUUUCGUGCUUGCUAGUUUAGAUAUCAUAUUUAUCAAUAGGUGGUUUCCUACUUUUAAAUUAUCUUUGCCUUUACCAGUGAGAUUUUUCAUUUUUAAUAUUCUUGUUGCUAAUUGUGGUUUUUCCUUUUCUGCUUAGAGAAGUUCCUUUAGUAGUUAAUGUAGAGAUGGCUUGGAGGUGCGGAAGUCUCUUAGCUUUUGCUUGUCUGUGAAGCUUUUGAUCUCUACAUCAAAUCUGAAUGAGAGCUUUGCUGGGAAGAGUAUUCUUGGUUCUAGGUUCCUCCUUUUCAUCACCUCAAAUAUAUUUUGCCACUCCCUUCUGGCUUGUAGAGGGUCUAAUGAAAGAUCAGCUGUUAUCCUUGUGGGAAUUCCCUUAUGUGUGAUGUUGCUUUUCCCUUUUGGCUCUUAAUAUUUUUUCUUUGAAGUUAGGUAUUGUUAAUUUGAUUAGUAUGUGACUUGCUCUAUUUCUUCUGGGGUUUAUUUUGUAUGGAAUUCUCUGUGCUUCUUCCACGUGAGUGAGUGUUCCUUUCCCAUAUUGGUAAAAUUUUCAGUUAUAAUCUCUUCCAAUUUUUUCUCUGGCCUUUUUUUUUCUCUCUCUCUUCUCCUUCUCAAACGCCUAUGAUAUGAAUGUUGGUACGUUUAAUGUUGUCCCAGAGGUCUCUUAGACUGUCCUAUGUUUGUUUUUAUUCUUUUGUGUUUACUC